GGCAGGCUUACACAUGCAAGUCGAGCGGAAACGAUGGGAGCUUGCUCCCAGGCGUCGAGCGGCGGACGGGUGAGUAAUACUUAGGAAUCUACCUAGUAGUGGGGGAUAGCUCGGGGAAACUCGAAUUAAUACCGCAUACGUCCUACGGGAGAAAGGGGGCAGUUUACUGCUCUCGCUAUUAGAUGAGCCUAAGUCGGAUUAGCUAGUUGGUGGGGUAAAGGCCUACCAAGGCGACGAUCUGUAGCUGGUCUGAGAGGAUGAUCAGCCACACCGGGACUGAGACACGGCCCGGACUCCUACGGGAGGCAGCAGUGGGGAAUAUUGGACAAUGGGGGAAACCCUGAUCCAGCCAUGCCGCGUGUGUGAAGAAGGCCUUUUGGUUGUAAAGCACUUUAAGCAGUGAAGAAGACCUAACGGUUAAUACCCGUUAGCGAUGACAUUAGCUGCAGAAUAAGCACCGGCUAACUCUGUGCCAGCAGCCGCGGUAAUACAGAGGGUGCAAGCGUUAAUCGGAAUUACUGGGCGUAAAGCGAGCGUAGGUGGCUUGAUAAGUCAGAUGUGAAAUCCCCGGGCUUAACCUGGGAACUGCAUCUGAUACUGUUAAGCUAGAGUAGGUGAGAGGGAAGUAGAAUUCCAGGUGUAGCGGUGAAAUGCGUAGAGAUCUGGAGGAAUACCGAUGGCGAAGGCAGCUUCCUGGCAUCAUACUGACACUGAGGCUCGAAAGCGUGGGUAGCAAACAGGAUUAGAUACCCUGGUAGUCCACGCCGUAAACGAUGUCUACUAGUCGUUGGGUCCCUUGAGGACUUAGUGACG
rnacentral:rRNA from 1 species